rnacentral:rRNA from 1 species
UCGUGGUGGGAGACAGUGUCAGGCGGGCAGUUUGACUGGGGCGGUCGCCUCCUAAAAGGUAACGGAGGCGCUCAAAGGUUCCCUCAGAAUGGUUGGAAAUCAUUCGUAGAGUGUAAAGGCAUAAGGGUGCUUGACUGCGAGACCUACAAGUCGAGCAGGGUCGAAAGACGGACUUAGUGAUCCGGUGGUUCCGCAUGGAAGGGCCAUCGCUCAACGGAUAAAAUCUACCCCGGGGAUAACAGGCUUAUCUCCCCC